rnacentral:rRNA from 1 species
GACGAACGCUGGCUGCGUGCUUAACACAUGCAAGUCGAACGCUGAAACCCUGGUGCUUGCACCGGGGUGGAUGAGUGGCGAACGGGUGAGUAACACGUGAGUAACCUGCCCCCGACUUCGGGAUAAGCCCGGGAAACUGGGUCUAAUACCGGAUAUGAGCGCCCCUCGCAUGAGGGAUGCUGGAAAGUCUUUUCGGUUGGGGAUGGGCUCGCGGCCUAUCAGUUUGUUGGUGAGGUAAUGGCUCACCAAGACGACGACGGGUAGCCGGCCUGAGAGGGCGACCGGCCACACUGGGACGGAGACACGGCCCAGACUCCUACGGGAGGCAGCAGUGGGGAAUAUUGCACAAUGGGGAAAACCCUGAUGCAGCGACGCAGCGUGCGGGAUGACGGCCUUCGGGUUGUAAACCGCUUUCAGCAGGGAAGAAGCCCCUUGGGGUGACGGUACCUGCAGAAGAAGUACCGGCUAACUACGUGCCAGCCGCCGCAGUAA